AGUUUGCUUACCAAGUUCUAAGGCCUUACUGAUUUCCAUCAACUUGUUCUAUCCAUUAUUGAGAGACGAGUGUUAUAGUCAGCAACUAUAAUUGUAAAUAUGUCUAUUUCUCCUUUUAGUUCUAUCAGUUUUUGCUUUAAGGCAUCAAGCUCUGUUUUUGUUUGUGUAUUUUUAAACUCUGUUACUAGGUGCAUAACUGUUUAGGAUUGUGGCUGGGCGCGGUGGCUCACGCCUGUAAUCCCAGCACUUUGGGAGGCCAAGGUGGGCGGAUCACCUGAGGUCAGGUGUUUGAGACCAGCCUGGCCAGCAUAGUGAAACCCCCUCUCUACUAAAAAUACAAAAAAAAAAAAAAUUAGCCGGGCGUGGUAGAAGGCGCCUCUAAUCCCAGCUACUCAGGAGGCUGAGGCAGGAAAACUGCUGGAACCUGGGAGGCGGAGGUUGCAGUGAGCCAAGAUUACACCACUGUGCUCCAGCCUGGGCAACAGAGCAAGAUUCCAUCUAAAAACAAACAAACAAAAAAAACACACAAAGAAUUGUUAUACCCUCUUCAUCAAUUUACUCCUUUAGAAUUAUGAAAGACCUUUUCAUCAUUUUGAUCUGAAAUCUACUUUUUCUAAUAUGAAUACAGCUACUCCAGCUUUCUUUUGAUUAGUGUGAACAUGGUAUAUCUUUUCCCGUACUUUCUCAGAGCCGUCUGUUCUCAGGCCAAGCUCGCUUCCUACUCUGCCAUAAGGUGAGCCACCUCUACCUGCCUGGAGAUCAACCUGCGGUCAUCCAGUUCCACCAGUGCCUGGCUGGAGCUAUAAGUUGGUGCUGUUUGCCAGGGUUGGUGUCUACAGAGGGCCAGGGGAAUUCCAAGCGAGGGAAGCAAGGAGAACUUCUUGGACUCCUCAAGUUCUACCAGAAGGCAGUGCUAUGGUGUGCCCAACCCUCCCAGGGGCCUAAAUGGCCACCCUCUUGGGAAUGCCCAAAGCAUCUGCUAUUUAGGACUUGGUUACAGAGCGCCAUCAGCUUCCCCAAGGUUUGUUUUAUUUGCCACCAAACUGCCUGCCCACAACAUGUGGCACUCAGGACAUCCAGGUGUGUGCCGCAGGGCAUCAGGGAGAUAAAUUAUGCUUAUGUGCCUGGGACAACAGCCUCAACUGAUCACUCAGCUUUGAAUAACACCUGGCUACCUUGAGGACUGUGAGCCCUGCUGACCAUGGAAGUGGGAAAGGGAAAUAUUUCUGGUGAUGGCUCACCAGUUACAAUUGGCAAAGCAACCUUGAGAGGAUUAAAGUGACCCUUAGAGGAAGCGCGAGAGGUUAUGAUCAUCCCCAAAUAGGUGUGGCACCUGCUAUGAACAAGCUGUCAUGUUAAGUGCCCUGGGAAUAAAACACAGGUGCAAAAGUCUCUGCCCUCGAGGACCAUACGAAAAGACUGGCUGGAGAAAUAAUGAUGUAUAUGAGAGCAAUAGCCCUAACCAAGGUAACAUAUGAUAAAUACACAGGAGAUAUAUAGAAGAAAGCUCACUUCUGACAAGGCAGAUGUGGGAAAAAGAGGUUUGAGCUUCCCCCAGUCUCUCUUGACUCACUGUGUGAAUGAAUCAAUCUGUAAAUGGCCCUUGAGGGAUCUCUGGAUAAGAUUUCAACAGGUACAGAGGAGAAAUUAGGGCAUAUGGUUAGAAGGGAGAAAGAUAGGGUGGGGAGGGAAAAACCCAAGAUGUGACGAAUAGAAAACACAUUUUAUUUGGAGAGAGGAAGAGCUUGAGCACACACGUAGACAAGACUAUGGCGGAGGGCUCAUUUAGGGAGCUAGUGGAUGGAAAGCCUGGAAGGUAGAUUAAAUGACCCAUCUCAAGGGUCAUGGGGAGCCAUUGGCAUUUUGUUAGAUUAGUAAGAGUGACACCCAAUUUGUUCUUUGGGAAUAUUAUUGUGGUAGAGCAUGGGUUGGUGGAGGAAGAAAUUAGAGAAAGGAAACCAGUUGGGCAGCUAUUGCAAUAGCCAGGCAAAGACUAAUGAAGGCCUGAUGAGGGCUGUGGUGAUGAGAAUGGGAGAGAGGCAAAGGAUGAAAGAGGUAUUUUGGAAAUACAGUGGCCAUAGCCCGGCAGCUAGUUGGAUAUAGAGGGCCAGAGAGAGAACUGGAAGAUGAACUUAAUGUGAUAGAGAGGGGAGGUGCCACCAACCAAGGCUGAGUUGCUGGUUUUGAGGGAAU
rnacentral:lncRNA from 1 species